rnacentral:lncRNA from 1 species
CUCCCGAGUAGCUGGGAUUAUAGGCAUGCACCACCACGCCCAGAGCCAACUACUAAGCCUGUAGCAGCCUCCCAAACUGCCCAGUCUUGUUCAGAUGCACCUCCAGAAACACAGGGGUCCAAAAUGCCCCUUCCCAGACACCCUGAGGAGUAGAACAGUGCCAGCAGGCUCCAGGGAUGAGGGACUAGCUACCACAUUCCCUUUCCCAAGCCUCAGUUUCCCCACCUGUAAGAUGAGGGAUAUGGGCUCUGACUUUCUGAGUUUGGAAAAUAAAGUGCUCCCCAAACUGG